rnacentral:rRNA from 1 species
AGUGGACGCUGGCGGUAGGCCUAACACAUGCAAGUCGAACGGCAGCACAGUAAGAGCUUGCUCUUACGGGUGGCGAGUGGCGGACGGGUGAGGAAUACAUCGGAAGCUACUUUUUCGUGGGGGAUAACGUAGGGAAACUUACGCUAAUACCGCAUACGACCUACGGGUGAAAGCAGGGGAUCUUCGGACCUUGCGCGAUUGAAUGAGCCGAUGUCGGAUUAGCUAGUUGGCGGGGUAAAGGCCCACCAAGGCGACGAUCCGUAGCUGGUCUGAGAGGAUGAUCAGCCACACUGGAACUGAGACACGGUCCAGACUCCUACGGGAGGCAGCAGUGGGGAAUAUUGGACAAUGGGCGCAAGCCUGAUCCAGCCAUACCGCGUGGGUGAAGAAGGCCUUCGGGUUGUAAAGCCCUUUUGUUGGGAAAGAAAAGCAGCAGGUUAAUACCCCGCUGUUCUGACGGUACCCAAAGAAUAAGUACCGGCUAACUUCGUG